rnacentral:rRNA from 1 species
AGUAGUAUUAGUUAUGGUCUUGAAACUUAAAAAAUUUGGCGGUACUUUAGUCUAUUCAGAGGAACCUGUCCUAUAAUCGAUAAUCCACGAUGGACCUUUCUUACUCUUGUAAUUCAGUUUAUAUACCGUCGUUAUCAGAAUAUUUCUAAAGAAAAAUAAUUUUCUAUAUAUUUAAUUAAAUUAUAUAUCAGAUCAAGGUGUAGCUAAUGAGUAAGUAGAGAUGGGUUACAAUAAAAUUAUUUAUAUGGAUUUAAUAAUGAAAAAGUUAAUGAAAGUGGAUUUGAUAGUAAAACUAAAAAGACUAUUAGUUUGAUUUUAGCUCUAAAGUAUGCACACAUCGCCCGUCGCUCUUAUUACUAAGAUAAGAUAAGUCGUAACAUAGUAGAUGUACCGGAAGGUGUCUCUAGAAUGUCAAUUUAAAGCUUAAAUAGAAAAGUAUUUCAUUUACAUUGAAAAGAUUUAUGUGCAAUUCAUUAUAAAUUGAUUAGAAUAUAUUUAUUAAUUAAAUUAGUUUAUAAGAUAUUUUAUUAAAAAUAAUUAUAAAAAUGAAAGUUUUAGUAUUGUAUAAAGAAAAAAUAAUUAUAAUUAUAGAUUAUUAGUAUUGUAAAAGAAAAUUGAAAUAAAUGAAAAA